GCUGAUGUGGCUCAGGCGGUAGCGCAAUACCUUGGUAAGGUAUAGGUCGCGGGUUCGAGUCCCGCCAUCAGCUCCA
rnacentral:tRNA from 1 species